rnacentral:rRNA from 1 species
CCUACGGGAGGCAGCAGUGAGGAAUAUUGGUCAAUGGACGAGAGUCUGAACCAGCCAAGUAGCGUGAAGGAUGACUGCCCUAUGAGUUGUAAACUUCUUUUAUAUGGGAGUAAAACAGGGUAUGCAUACCCUCUUGUAUGUACCAUAUGAAUAAGGAUCGGCUAACUCCGUGCCAGCAGCCGCGGUAAUACGGAGGAUCCGAGCGUUAUCCGGAUUUAUUGGGUUUAAAGGGAGCGUAGGUGGAUUGUUAAGUCAGUUGUGAAAGUUUGCGGCUCAACCGUAAAAUUGCAGUUGAUACUGGAAGUCUAGAGUACAGUAGAGGCGGGCGGAAUGCGUGGUGUAGCGGUGAAAUGCUUAGAUAUCACGAAGAACUCCGAUUGCGAAGGCAGCUUACUGGACUGGAACUGACACUGAUGCUCGAAAGUGUGGGUAUCAAACAGGAUUAGAUACCCCGGUAGUC